AAGCAUCAUUGAUUUGAUGCACCUGGCUGAACUCUCGAGUGGAACACAGAAAGUGGAAAGUUACUCUGCAUGGUAUUUUACUUCGAAAGAGAAGUUGCAAAAAUGGGAUAAAUUUCAAAGACAAACGUUUGAGAAAUUAUGGAGACCCUGAGCAAAGAGUUAACAACCAUUCCACUGGAAGAUGCUGCACAGUAAUCACUUCGUGUUGCACCAGCUCAGUUGGAUUGUCCUGCUCAGCUCUUCAGGAAUUUUUGGAAGGAUUUUUUUUUUGUUUCUGAAACUCAUCUAAAGGUAAUUAAGCUUUUUAUCUAAUAAAAUAAUAGCAAUUAAAAUUCAUUUAUUUUAUACAUAUUUACCAAAAUUUCUUUCAAAUGACAGAUAGGACUGAUAAAUUUUAUAUAUGGUGUAUGUAAGUUCAGACUGAAUAUAAACUUGCUCAACUGACUGGUUUAACUUGUAGGCAACUGAACAGGACUAAUGACUUAGAUGUCUCCUUAUCUUUUUAGCUACAUCGCCUUUUUAAAUUAUAUAUUUCCAAACUUCCAAUAUAUUAUGGAAUAACAUACAAAAUCACGUGUAAAGGGAAAAAAAAUGUUGCCUAUUCUAUCAAAAUUAGAAAAAAAAAAAUAAAAAGAAAGAAUAGGAGAUAUUAAAGUAUGAGUUUUACUUAAUUGUUCAAGGGUGUUCCACAGAACCUUAAAAAUAAUUGUUACAUGCCAUCAACAACUUUUACAAUUUUAUUCAUUACAGAUCUCUAUGCAAAGAAACACCCUAAGAUGGAUAGGAACAAAAUAGCCUGUUCUUCAAAAAAUGUUUUGAAUGAGAUCAAGAGGUUUUUAAAUAUAUGUGCAUAUAUAUAUAUAUAUAUCUAAAAUAUCCCUUAUAAGCAUUAGAGAGCCCAGCCAUUGCCACACUUGGCAUUGUUGUUCUGCAUCUGGACCAGGUUUGCCUUCUCACCAUGAGAAGGAAAUUCACAUCUGUUUAAAUUUUUGCAGUAAUUUAUAAUCCCAACCACUAAAAUUAGAAACAGAUUCUGGUUAAAUUAAAAGGUGAUGUGAAAAAAAAGAAUCCUUCAUAAUAUGUUUUCCAUGAGAUGGGGGAGGUGUAAGAGGAUAAAAAGAUUAUAAAUCAUCAGGUAGAGAAUCAAGAAACCCAAAUAAUAAAAUAAGCACGGAGAUAAGAGAGGAUCUUUAACACAAUUUCAUCCUUGUAUGUUAAGAUCUGAAAGAAGUUUCAUGGCCACAAUUUUUACUUCUCUGUCGUUUAUGCCUGUAUUGGAUAAUCUGAGAAAAUGCAUUGUGAUUUUCUAGUCGGUCUCCAUUUUGGAUGCAUUUGAUUUUGGAUCUUGUUCUACUGUUUUGGUAGCUGUUUUUCCUUUCAAUGAGAGAUUAAAGAAUCACAGACCAAACGUUUACACCUAAUAUAUAAAACCAUGAUAUCAGUAGAUGAGCAAGUUACCAGCAUGUAAGGACACCCAAAAAGACAAUCAGAAGUGAGAAAGUUCUUUGAGAUAGGAACUGGACUGACUAGAUCUGGAAAAAGGAAAGCCAGAUAGACAAGUGUAUAGGGAAGUGGACUGACAACUGGGUGAAGUCUAGAGGUCACUUCCAACGCCUACAAUUCUGUGAUUCAGAUCAGUCAUGGUAGAAAUUGGCCUGUUUUGACACAAGUUAUAAAUACCUAAUUAGCUGUUUUGUUUGUUUGUUUGUUUGUUUGUUUUAAUCUCAUUAGUUUAAUAAAAUAAUACCUUAAUAGGUGUAUAUGAGUUUGCAUCACUUAAAAAAGGCUAUAUUAUAUACAAUUUAUGUAGAUAAGGAGGACGAUCCAUUUCCUUACUAUAAUUCACUCCAAAAGGACAGGCUGGAUAGAGAGCAAUCUGUAUAGCAUGUCAUUCACUUUAAGGCUAUACUCUGAAAGUAAUGCCUCCUAUUUACUUCAGUGGGAACUACGACAGAUGCAAAGAGCACAAUUAAACUAUUUGAUGAAGCAAAUUCUCAGCUGCUCUUUUCCAACAUAGUCACUGCCACAAGAUAGGCUUUUUUUUGUGGUUUUUUUUUUUUUUUGUUUUUUUGUUUUUUUGUUUUUUGUUUGUUUGUUUUGUUUUGUUUUGUCUUUGCCAGUGAUAAACAAGAGCCUGCAUGCCACGCUUGUAAAAAUCUGCACUGGUGGAGGUGACCCAGUGUCACAGUAGCCACUGCUGAAGUGCACCAUCUAUUCACUGUUUGGUAUCUACAAACGCUCAGCAUGGAGGAAUUCAUUUACACACAUUUGCUUCAUACACCAUUUUGUCAGAGUGCCCCUCUGCUACCAUUUGUCUCACAGCAACAAAAUUUAAUGGUGGGAAAAUUCAUCCUCUACCCCCAGCAUGCACCUCUGAUGCCGUGGGCCAGCAUAAUAAAAUAGGAGGUGUUACUUUCAAAGCAGCUCUUAUAGAAUAAUAACAUCUGUUAUUUUAUUAUUGGGAAGGAGCUAGAUACAACUAGCAUAUUGUUAGGAGAUGAUAGCAUCACACAAACAACUAACAGAUCAUUUGAUAGCUCUUCUGUUUUCCAUUGGGUCCUUUCCAUUAGAGCUUGAAAGUCAUAAUCUGUGAAGUUUCCUCAGAACUGCAAGAAUAACUUUGUGGAACCCUCAAGGUAGCAACUAAUUGUUUCAUCUUUCCCUUCUUUCCAGGUCUGAGAUGAUUGAACUCAAGGGUUCAAAUUUUGAGGUACAAGAGGAAUAGUAACAUAAAACCAAAGAGAGGAAAAAAGAUGAGAUACCAGUGGAAAAGUACAAGAAUUGCUUCAAACCACAACACAGUGGGGAUCUCAUGAACUUCAAGCCCAGUGAGAUUAUAAAUGCUUCCAGGAGUUGAUGUCGCUAACCACUGGCUUUAAUCUUGACCAUUUCUCACUUAUGCCACAGAAAGGUCAGUGCCUUGUGUUUAAUUGUGCUGUAAGUAUGAAACUAUUGUUUUCAAGCUAACGCAGGUGGUGGGAGGAAGAGGAGAAGCUACCUUCCAAGCUAAUUACAGAGGCACAGCUCCUCUAUUUUAUGAGCAGCAGUAGAGGGGAGAAGAGCCAAAAUUAUUUUUCUCUGAUGACUGAAGAAAUAUUUAUGAUGUGCCGUUCUCAGAGACAAAGAGAUUACACUACUCCUCUGAGUUUCUUCAGUCUAAUUAUUUUUUAUUUUUCCUGAUUCUGUAUGGAUUUGAUACUGUGAAAGCUUAACUCAUGUUUCAAAUUCUUUAUUAAUACAGUCAUCUUGUGUUAGGCAGCUGAAGUCUUCAGCUUAGAAUCAGUUUUUCUAAUCAUCUCUUACUCAAGAUUCUUGAUUAUCUACAGUAAACUCUUGAAAACAAUACAAAAACAUCCAACUGAAUUUUAAGAUCGAGGCCCAAGCCUUCAUUUCAGGGAAUUUGGUCAUGCUACAGUGAUACCAUACUCUGACAUGUUUUCUAUUGCCAUUGCACCGUGCUUAGCCUUUUAGCAUAUAGAUUUUGAUGUGAUCUUAAGGAAUGCAUUUACGACAUUUUUACACAUAUGGGGAGGUAACUUGUUUAAUAACUAGAUAACUCAGAAAACGAAUUGGUCUAAAGGAUUUUCACUAAAUUUAAUGCAUGGUAAUUUCGUAGGAACUACAAAAACAAAGUGUCCUUUACCUCAAAUUCCCUAAUUAUCCCUAUGCUAUGUUAAAUACGUCCUCGUUAUGAAUUAAUCUAAACGUAGUUCUAAGUUUUCAGCAUAUCUACAUUAGUAUAUGAUGAUAUCUUGAUAAAUAAAUAUCACCUGCAGGAAACGCUGAGUGUUUUUUAACUCUGCAUAUCAUUGUUUGUUGUGGUACGAAUUGUGAAAGAAUGGCAGCAUUUGAAAGACACCUGCAAACCCUGGUCUACUGCUUGAUUUGCUAAUGCAGCAUCAUGAAACAGUAGUACCUGCUGAAAAUUACUGUGAUAUUGCAGUAAAUAAUCAAGUACAUUUUUAAGAUGUGGGAAAGGUUGCAAUAUGGUUGACUACUAUGAACAUUUUUUAUUAUGUUAGCAUUAAUUUUGAGCAUAAAAUUCAGUCCCUCUUCCUCAAGCUCUUUUUCUCAAUAUUACUUUCUCUUCUUUUCUGUAAGAACUUUGGCAAUAAAAUGAAUGUUUUCGGCAGCUGACAUAAUUCAAUUACAGGAAUUUCCUGAGCUGUGCCUGUUUGGCUACCUCUGGGGAACGGCUGCGAGUUGGGGUUGUGACAGCAGUCAGCAGAGCUCUCUAUGAGCAAUGAGUGAACAGAAAGUUCAGCUCCUUCGAAAGACAUAUUUUAAGGGGAAUCUCAUUAAAAAGACUCUGAACAUACAAACAAAGUGGUAAUGUAUUCUUAAUGAGGCAAGGUGAUGUCUUGCUGUGCAAAUGUGCAAAGACCUGUAAAACUGCAGUUCUCCUUCCACUCACUGAAGACAAUUGUAAGCGUUUGUCAAUGCGUCACUGUCCUGUUUACUGGUGAGACUGGUGAGCUGCAUGGAAAGACACCUCUGCCAAUAAAAAGAUGCAGAUAUCAUGCAAAAAAUAAGGAUGUCCAGAACCAAAACAGAAGAAUCGACGUAGGAUGCUCCAAAAAGAAUGCUUUCUACUUAUUUUCAUGGAAACUAUGCACAAUAAAGAGCACAAUAACACUAUUUGAUAGAGCAAUUUUUUAGCUGCAAUCUGUCUCACGACAACAAAAAGUAAUAGAAUAUUGGUGAGAAGGUUCAACCCCUACUGCCAUACCACCAGUACCCAUCUUUGAUGUCAUGGGACAACAUAACAGAAUAGGAGGCAGUACUUUUAGAGCACCUCAUAUUUACCUAUCACCUAGAGGAAAAAAUCUUAUAGUCUUCCUGUGAAUGAAACUGU